rnacentral:lncRNA from 1 species
GAAAGCUGACCCAUUUCAAAGUUCAGUUUAAUUAUGUGGCACUUAGCACAAGUGACUCCAUUCUCCUUGGGUCUGAUGCCGGGGGGGCCUCAGGCAGGUGGUUAAUCCAAACUAAUGACCUCCCAUAAAAUUUGUUGAACACAGGUGUUUUUACAAGAGGCACACAAAAGAGAGACACAGAGAGAAGAUGAGAAGACUGAGGCAGACAUUGGAAUGACGCAACCAGGAGCCAAGGAAUGCCUGGAUCCAUGGGAAGCAGAAGAGGCUUUCUCACCAUGUGAUGCAUUCUGCUAUGUUAUGAUACAGCAAGAAGGGCCUCACAAGAUGUGACCUCUUGUUCUUGGACUUCUCAGCCUCCAGAAUCAUGAGAAAAAAAGGCUCAGCACUGUGAAGACUGAUUGCCACCUCCCCCUUCCCCAGCAAUCUCGUGGAGAUCUGGUCAGAGAAGCUGUUCCAUCUCCCACAAACCUCGUGGCUCAGAAGCAGAGGUGGAGGCUGCAGACCUCAUGUCAGGACUGGGUCGACUAAAAUAAAAACAGUCCCCCUAGUCUGGAUGCCCUGUGUACCUUGCAACUGAGAAAAUGUGAAUGAAACCAUGAAAUACUAUGCAGCCAUAAAAAGGAAUGAAAUUAUGUCUUUUGUAGGAACAUGAAUGGAGCUAGAAGCCAUUAUUCUCAGCAAACUAACACAGGAACAGAAAACCAAACACCACAUGUUCUCACUUAUAAGUGGGAGCUGAAGAAUGAGAACCCAUGGACACAGGGAGGGGAAAAACACACAGGGGCCUAUCAGGGGGUGUGGUGGGGGGAAGGAGAGCAUUGGAAAAAUAGCUAAUGCAUGCUUGGCUUAAGUUCUACGUGAUAGGUUGAUAGGUGCAGCAAACCACCAUGGCACACGUUUACCUAUGUAACAAACUUGCACAUCCUGCACAUGUACCCCAGAACUUAAAAAUAAAAA